UACGAAGGGGGCUAGCGUUGUUCGGAAUUACUGGGCGUAAAGCGCACGUAGGCGGAUCGAUCAGUCAGGGGUGAAAUCCCAGGGCUCAACCCUGGAACUGCCUUUGAUACUGUCGAUCUGGAGUAUGGAAGAGGUGAGUGGAAUUCCGAGUGUAGAGGUGAAAUUCGUAGAGAUCCGGAGGAACACCAGAGGCGAAGGCGGCCUACUGGGUCAGUACUGACGCUGAGCCGCGAAAGCCAGGGGAGCGAACGGG
rnacentral:rRNA from 1 species